GUCUGCCACAAGUCACCCUAACUCAGACUGGGAGGAUUGAUAUUGGUGAAUCAAGAACACACACCUGAUUCAAUGGGAGAAAAGGUGAGACCUCUUCUCACCAGAAAAGCAACCAUGGCUUCCCUCCUCAUACAAAGUACCUCCGUAAAGAAAGGCAGGAAGUGGUGCGACCAUUAAGAGUCUAUUGCAAGCUUUCAGAUGAUACAACAAAGGCGUGAACUAGAAUGGUGGUAAAAGGGUUGGAGAGGAGUGGAUGGAUUCCACCUACACAAUACAAUCAAAAACUGGUGAAGCCAGGAAAAUGUACACGGACCUCUAAGUGGAGGAUAUGGAGACAGCAAAGGAGACAGAAGGCAGAGACACAGGAAGAAAUUGGAAGAUCUGGGUGCCAGGGAGGCUCUGAGAAGAAAGUACAUGAAGAAAUUAUCUGAGGGUCCAUGUAAGAUAAAGUCAAAGAAUGACCCAGAUAUCAUAGAGGGUCAUAGUAGCUAAAGUGUAUAACAUUAG